rnacentral:rRNA from 1 species
CUUCUGUUGGGGCGACCACGGGAGAAAAUAAAGCUCCCACGCGGACUGGGGCAACCCCCUAAAACCAAGAGUGACAACUCUAAGUCGCAGAAUC